CCCCACUGCUAUCGGGAUGGGACUAAGACAUGCUAGUCGAGCGUCUCCAAGCUAUGGAAGAGACGCGGCACACAGCUCAGUAACACGUGGCUAACCUGCCCUUGGGACAAGGACAACUCCGGGAAACUGGGGCUAAUCCCUGAUAAGUGAGAACUCCUGGAAUGGAUUCUCGCUCAAAGGACGUUUAGACCAUGCUUCUAGGCGUCGCCCAAGGAGGGGGCCGCGACCGGUCAGGUUGUUGGUGAGGUAACGGCUCACCAAGCCUUUAACCGGUACGGGCCGUGAGAGCGGAAGCCCGGAGAUGGGCACUGAGACAAGGGCCCAGGCCCUACGGGGCGCAGCAGUCGCGAAAACUCCGCAAUACACGAAAGUGUGACGGGGCCAUCCCGAGUGCCAUCCGCUGAGGAUGGCUUUUCCCCAGUGUAUAAAGCUGGGGGAAUAAGGAGAGGGCAAGCCUGGUGUCAGCCGCCGCGGUAAUACCAGCUCUCCGAGUGGUGGGGAUGUUUAUUGGGCCUAAAGCAUUCGUAGCCUGCUUGGCAAGUCCUCCGUUAAAUCCAACGAUUCAAUCGUUGGGCUGCGGGGGAUACUGUCCGGCUAGGGGGCGGGAGAGGCCGACGGUAUCCUCGGGGUAGGGGUGAAAUCCUAUAAUCCCGGGAGGACCACCAGUGGCGAAGGCUGUCGGCUAGAACGCGCUCGACGGUGAGGGAUGAAAGCUGGGGGAGCGAACCGGAUUAGAUACCCGGGUAGUCCCAGCUGUAAACGGUGCAGGCUAGGUGUUGGCGCGGCUACGUGCCGCUCCAGUGCCGCAGGGAAGCCGUUAAGCCUGCCGCCUGGGAAGUACGGCCGCAAGGCUGAAACUUAAAGGAAUUGGCGGGGGAGCACCACAAGGUGUGAAGCUUGCGGUUU
rnacentral:rRNA from 1 species